rnacentral:misc_RNA from 1 species
AAUUCUCAACCCCUUCCAGCUGUUGUGGUUGGCCUCUGGGGAUUGGAUGAUGGAGGUUGUGCAGGCCUGUCGAGGUCAGCUCCUCUGAAAUGCAUUAGUGGAACCGUUUGCGAUCCAUCACAGGUGUGAUAAUUAUCUACGCCUAGUGGGUUGCUCUCUGUCUUUGUUCUGCUUCCAACUGUCCACUGCUUGUGGACAAACUAUUACUGAAC